UCCUUUGUGGUGUAGUGGUCAGCACGCUCGAUGCGUAACCGAGAGGUCCGUGGUUCGAUUCCCGGUGAAGGCG
rnacentral:tRNA from 1 species